rnacentral:rRNA from 1 species
AUGUCUUCCUCCUCCGGCGCCGCCUCGUCCAAUCUCAAUGGGCAGGUCAUCAAGAAGCUUUCCCGCACGAACUACGUGCUGUGGCGCACGCAGAUCACACCCCAACUGUGUGGCGCCGGCGUCUUCGGCUUCAUCGACGGCACAUCACCGGAGCCGGUCAAGCUCCUCGCCGCCAAGGACAAGGAUGGUAAGGAGACGUUCGUGCCCAACCCUCUCCACCCUACCUGGGUCCGGGAGGACCAGCAAGUGCUCGGCUACUUGCUGAGCAACCUCUCCAAGGAGGUGCUGGUCACGGUGACCACAGUCACCACGGCGCAUGCGCUCUGGAUGAUGCUGGUGGGCAUGUACUCGUCGCAGCCGCUGAGCCGCGUCAACAACAUCCGUACCUCCCUCAUCAACGCGCAGAAAGGUACUCAAUCCGCCGCCGCCUACUUCGCCUUCAUGUGUGGCCUCACCGAUGAGCUGGCCGCGGCCGGCAAGCCGAUCCAGGAUGAUGAACUCAUCUCCUACAUCCUCCAUGGGCUGGAUCUGGAGUACCAGCCCCUAGUUUCGGCCCUCGACGCUCGUGUGUCACCCGCCUCCCUCGAUGAGAUCUUCGCCAUGCUCAGCAACUUCGACCAACGCAUG